rnacentral:rRNA from 1 species
GAGUAAUGUCUGGGAAACUGCCUGAUGGAGGGGGAUAACUACUGGAAACGGUAGCUAAUACCGCAUAAUGUCGCAAGACCAAAGAGGGGGACCUUCGGGCCUCUUGCCAUCGGAUGUGCCCAGAUGGGAUUAGCUAGUAGGUGGGGUAACGGCUCACCUAGGCGACGAUCCCUAGCUGGUCUGAGAGGAUGACCAGCCACACUGGAACUGAGACACGGUCCAGACUCCUACGGGAGGCAGCAGUGGGGAAUAUUGCACAAUGGGCGCAAGCCUGAUGCAGCCAUGCCGCGUGUAUGAAGAAGGCCUUCGGGUUGUAAAGUACUUUCAGCGGGGAGGAAGGGAGUAAAGUUAAUACCUUUGCUCAUUGACGUUACCCGCAGAAGAAGCACCGGCUAACUCCGUGCCAGCAGCCGCGGUAAUACGGAGGGUGCAAGCGUUAAUCGGAAUUACUGGGCGUAAAGCGCACGCAGGCGGUUUGUUAAGUCAGAUGUGAAAUCCCCGGGCUCAACCUGGGAACUGCAUCUGA